rnacentral:rRNA from 1 species
CAGCAGCCACGGGAAUACGGAGGGUGCAAGCGUUAAUCGGAAUUACUGGGCGUAAAGCGUGCGUAGGCGGUUCGUUAAGUCUGUUGUGAAAGCCCCGGGCUCAACCCUGGAAUUGCCUUUAAGACUGCCGAGCUAGUAGGUGAGAGAGGUAAGUGGAAUUCCGAGUGUAGAGGUGAAAUUCGUAGAUAUUCGGAAGAACACCAGUGGCGAAGGCGGCUUACUGGCUCAUUCUAGACGCUGAGGUGCGAAAGCGUGGGGAGCAAACAGGAUUAGAUACCCCUGUAGUCCCUGUCUCUUAUAA